rnacentral:miRNA from 1 species
AACCCGUACGCUUGAACUUGUG